rnacentral:rRNA from 1 species
GGUUAAGCGACUAAGCGUACACGGUGGAUGCCCUGGCAGUCAGAGGCGAUGAAGGACGUGCUAAUCUGCGAUAAGCGUCGGUAAGGUGAUAUGAACCGUUAUAACCGGCGAUUUCCGAAUGGGGAAACCCAGUGUGAUUCGUCACACUAUCAUUAACUGAAUCCAUAGGUUAAUGAGGCGAACCGGGGGAACUGAAACAUCUAAGUACCCCGAGGAAAAGAAAUCAACCGAGAUUCCCCCAGUAGCGGCGAGCGAACGGGGAGCAGCCCAGAGCCUGAAUCAGUGUGUGUGUUAGUGGAAGCGUCUGGAAAGGCGUGCGAUACAGGGUGACAGCCCCGUACACAAAAAUGCACAUGCUGUGAGCUCGAUGAGUAGGGCGGGACACGUGGUAUCCUGUCUGAAUAUGGGGGGACCAUCCUCCAAGGCUAAAUACUCCUGACUGACCGAUAGUGAACCAGUACCGUGAGGGAAAGGCGAAAAGAACCCCGGCGAGGGGAGUGAAAAAGAACCUGAAACCGUGUACGUACAAGCAGUGGGAGCACGCUUAGGCGUGUGACUGCGUACCUUUUGUAUAAUGGGUCAGCGACUUAUAUUCUGUAGCAAGGUUAACCGAAUAGGGGAGCCGAAGGGAAACCGAGUCUUAACUGGGCGUUAAGUUGCAGGGUAUAGACCCGAAACCCGGUGAUCUAGCCAUGGGCAGGUUGAAGGUUGGGUAACACUAACUGGAGGACCGAACCGACUAAUGUUGAAAAAUUAGCGGAUGACUUGUGGCUGGGGGUGAAAGGCCAAUCAAACCGGGAGAUAGCUGGUUCUCCCCGAAAGCUAUUUAGGUAGCGCCUCGUGAAUUCAUCUCCGGGGGUAGAGCACUGUUUCGGCAAGGGGGUCAUCCCGACUUACCAACCCGAUGCAAACUGCGAAUACCGGAGAAUGUUAUCACGGGAGACACACGGCGGGUGCUAACGUCCGUCGUGAAGAGGGAAACAACCCAGACCGCCAGCUAAGGUCCCAAAGUCAUGGUUAAGUGGGAAACGAUGUGGGAAGGCCCAGACAGCCAGGAUGUUGGCUUAGAAGCAGCCAUCAUUUAAAGAAAGCGUAAUAGCUCACUGGUCGAGUCGGCCUGCGCGGAAGAUGUAACGGGGCUAAACCAUGCACCGAAGCUGCGGCAGCGACGCUUAUGCGUUGUUGGGUAGGGGAGCGUUCUGUAAGCCUGUGAAGGUGUACUGUGAGGUAUGCUGGAGGUAUCAGAAGUGCGAAUGCUGACAUAAGUAACGAUAAAGCGGGUGAAAAGCCCGCUCGCCGGAAGACCAAGGG